CCUACGGGAGGCAGCAGUCGAGAAUCAUUCACAAUGGGGGAAACCCUGAUGGUGCGACGCCGCGUGGGGGAAUGAAGUUCUUCGGAUUGUAAACCUCUGUUAUGUGGGAGCAAAUUAAAAAGAUAGUACCACAAGAGGAAGAGACGGCUAACUCUGUGCCAGCAGCCGCGGUACUACAGAGGUCUCAAGCGUUGUUCGGAAUCACUGGGCGUGAAGCGUGCGUAGGCUGUUUCGUAAGUCGUGUGUGAAAGGCGCGGGCUCAACCCGCGGACGGCACAUGAUACUGCGAGACUAGAGUAAUGGAGGGGGAAGCGGAAUGCUCGGUGUAGCAGUGAAAUGCGUAGAUAUCGAGAGGAACACUCGUGGCGAAGGCAGGUUCCUGGACAUUAACUGACGCUGAGGCACGAAGGCCAGGGGAGCGAAAGGGAUUAGAUACCCGGGUAGUC
rnacentral:rRNA from 1 species